rnacentral:pre_miRNA from 1 species
GAGUUACUCUUGAUCUUCACUAUUCAUUUUAUUGAAAUCUAAUGAUUAAUCAUUAUAUUUCAAGAAAAUGAAUGGUGAAGAUGAAGAGUUACU